GACGUAGGGGGCCAGCGUUGCUCGGAAUUACUGGGCGUAAAGGGUCCGUAGGGCGGUGCGGUAAGUCGGGAGUGAAAUCUCUGGGCUUAACUCAGAGGCUGCUUCCGAAACUACCGUGCUAGAGUGCGAGAGAGGCAAGUGGAAUUGCGGGUGUAGCGGUGAAAUGCGUAGAUAUCCGCAGGAACAUCCGAGGCGAAAGCGGCUCGCUGGAUCACAACUGACGCUGAGGGACGAAAGCUAGGGGAGCAAACAGG
rnacentral:rRNA from 1 species